rnacentral:lncRNA from 1 species
CGUAAAUUCGUCGCAUUGAAAGGAGUAAUCGCAGGAAAAUAAUUAGCGCGGCGCUCAUUCGGGGGCGGCGCUCUUUUAAAAAAGUUGAUCUCAAAUGCGGCGCUCAUUCGGGGGCGGCGCUCAAUCGGGGGCGGCGCUCAAACGAGUAAAUACGGUAUCUUGAGUUAGAUUUAGCUAUGAAUUUUGAUUUACACAACAAAUUUGCAUAUUUGUAAUUCUGCGAUUGAAGGUCCGUCAGAACUCAGAAGGCUAUUAAUAUGGAGGAUAACCUAUAUAAAUGCAUUAAUGCAGUAUACCUAGGAUAUAAAGGUCAGGUUUUAUAGAUGAAUGUUAAGACUUUAAUAUUGAUAUAUGUUUAUUUGAGUAAUAUGACACUGUAGUGAUUACUAGUCAAGUGAUCAAUGACUCAACAAGGCUAUUAGGCAACAAAAAUGAGUGUAGUACUAUCAUGAGAUAGUUAAACAUAAUACUAGCAAUCCGUAAUUUGAUAAAAUGAAACAUCUUCCACAAUUAUCACAUUUCUGCAAGUACUUCUCCUUUACGUUUCCCUAAGGAGCGAGUUGUGAGAGUCAGUCAGACUGAUAGUUGCUAUAAUUAUCUCCCAUUUCACGAAGUUAAUUUUUUGUUGAACCUGCUUUCAGAGUGAUGCAAAUUGCGUUUCUGAGGUUUAAAAAUAUAAAAAUUCCUGGGGGACAGACCCCCCCCCCCCCUAGGUGCCUCGCGCAUUCGCCGCUCGCAAAACUGGAUUGUACAUCCAAAAACUUUGACUAACGUACAAAAAAUCCUGGAUCCUCCCCUGAACCAUAAUAUACCAAGACACCGGCUCAGACGUACCCUCCGGCUACGGGCAGCUCAACCUGACAAGCCAGGCCCACUGUAACUAUGAUCAUCAACUAUCAACCGUAAAGAAUGACGGGCCAAUAAUAGCGAAGAAAUUAUAUAGUCCUUGAUUUUUAGUGCCGUUAUAUGGCUAGUUUCAGGUACUAAAAAGUUCAUAGACAUGGACGAUUCUUGCUUCCAUUUAUAAGAUAAACUGAUCCCAACCCAAAGCCCUUCUCUAACCCCAACCAGUAAACAUCUAAUAAACAAUUGAGAAUUAAAAAAGUGGGGGGGAAAGUUGGAUCUUGUUCCAAAAACAAAUCGAACCUAUCACGUUUCACUUCGCCGCACGCAACGCCACCUCGCUGAAUACAGUCGAAAACAUACAUUUUAUAGUAAUAUAUGAUGAAUUAGAAAGUAAUUUGGCGCAAAUUAAUGUAAUUAGGUGCAAAUUUAUAAUUAUGCAAAUAAAUACAAGAGCACAACGCAUGUUUAUGAGCCUACAACGUAUAUUUAUACUAUCAAACCUUUAACUUGUCCUUGUUUAUAUUCCACUAUAUUGUAUAAAUUCGCUGGGUCCAAAUUUUGGGGGUUUCGAGUCGUUACACAAAGAAAAACACACUAAUUCAACACGCAAGAAAGGCCAGAGUGCGACACAACGUAAAAUCCAUAGGAAACCGGCACAAUUCUCUGAAAAUUCAACGAAACUGUGUGAAAUAUAUGUUAGAUUGCUCAGUGAAAAGCCGCCAUUUUGAAACUGAACUGAAUAUGUCACUGGAGCACGUUGCACCCUGAGCCUGCGAUGAGCUAACGCAAACUCCAUUUCUCGACGAAAAAAAAAACAGAAAAAGGGGGAUUUAAGACACUUGGCCUACAGGCCAGUGUAACAAGACGCCUGCUCAGGCGUUCACACUGACCUGAAAAUGACGACAUACGCGAUAUGGUGCAAUUAGCUUGCGUGGCAGGCCCUCAAUUUUAUGGAGAGGGGGCCUGAUUUGCAGCGGGCAGGAUUUUGGCGGGCACGGGGUGGCGGGCACGGGGUGGCGGGCACGGGGGAGGAUUCGCCCGCCAAAAUCCUGCCCGCUGCAAAUCAGGCCCCCAUAAAAUUGAGGGCCUGCCACGCAGGCUAUGGUCACUGUGCUAUGGUGCAAUCACUGAGCUGUAUAAUAACUGGAGGACCUGCUCCUAUACUUCGUUCAGUCAACGAAGUGAAGCCAAAAACUUGGCGGAUUUUCAGGCAAAAUGACGCCAUUUCCAUGACUACUGGUCCCUAAAUUCAUGGUAAUUGCCACUGAACAAGGAUCAAAUAUGAGCCCGCCGCAGUUUUCACUCCCCUGUUGAAUCUGUUGAAACUGGUAGUCAAUUUAUCCCGGGCGUUCUGUGACCCCGUCCGCGAUCAUAUCAGAUCAUGUCAGCGGCUUAGCAUUUAGCAUUAAUUAACACAAUUCGAAUUCGCGCGCGAAUUAUUAAUUAAAGAUAUUAUUUUAAUUGAAUAUAAUACACUUAAAAAAUAAACGUGACCCUAACUCUAACCUAACCUAACCGAAAGGCAUUGUAUAAAGGCAAUCUGAGGAAAAAUCUUUUAAAGAAAAAAAUAAACAAAAAACAAAACAUUGGCAAUUGCGAGAUCGAACCACCAAUUAGCAGCACGUUAGAUCGCACGCAACGCCCUAGACAAACACGCCACCGGCACUCGCUGAAAUACAAAAGAAGAAAAUCUAAAUAUAUAGGGGUCACAUAUAUAAAUAAAACCAUCCGCUCACAUUUAGUAUAAAAUAUUGUGAUGGCAUCGGCAUUUAUUGUUUUUCUAGCCACGUCAAGGACCUCAAAUUUCAGAGAGGAUAGUUUCUGAAUUUUCUCAGAGCAUGUAUUAAUUUGCAUGCACAUGGGAAUGACCGUAUACGUAUGUAUUUUUAGACAAAAUAAACUAUAGAGUAUAGUAUAAACCAGUCAUAUUUGUUCUUUGAUGGUAAAUUCGGUACUGGAAUGAUGGCCCAUGUAUCUGGAAAUAUUUCCACUUUCUAAAGUAAUGUAAAAUUCCUUUGAAUUUUGAGUAAAACCUUCGAACUUCGGGCGACGUUAUUUAAGUAAUUUACUAGAUGCCGCUGAUGUGAUCGCGGACGGGGAGGGUCACAGAACGCCCGGGAUAAAUUGACUUAUGACUACCGUUGAAACUUGAUGCUCAAGAAAUAUGUCGAAGUAUACCUCUCUGUUAUCAAACCUACGGUAAAAUAAUCCGACAAUAGCCUACUCAAUGAUAUUGUCAAAGACUUGUUUGUGCGUGUAUAUGUUACAAAUAGGAAUACUGUAUAUGUCUGACAUUUAGGACAUUUAGAGAAUGCAGUCCGCAUGAUAAAUUUGAUAAAUAGCUUUAAUUGUGACAAUAGCUUUACUGUAAUGAAAUUUAAUACUUUACUGUGAUGAAGUACUUUGUGAAAUAUAAUACUGAAUCAAACUCUAAGACUAUGUAAAUGUUAUAUCUGUGGUGGGUACAUUGAUAUGACUGCAUGUGCAUAUCAGACUGAGUGAUAUCAGUGUUUAUGGCGUGGUUUAUUCCGUGGUUUAUGGAAUUAUCUAUGAUAUGACUAUGUUGAUAUUAUAAAAUGUGUACUGUAUGUCAGAAAAAUACUGUUAUAAAUAUUGCUAUUACCCCAUUACUUAGUGCAUGGAGGCCAAAAAAUUAUCAGGCUAAAGCCGUGAUUGUAUAUACCACUUGAUGAUACACGCCCUGAGGCUGAAAAUUGUUGUACUUUACUACAGUGCCAACCUCCUAUACCCUACCGAUCUACAGGUUUUUUAAUAAAUAUGAUGAAAUAUUUAAUUUAAAAUAUUUUCAAAGAUAAACUAUCGACAGUUUUAAAGUGAGCAUUUAGUCACUGUUCGGCAGUGUCGAUGCACAUGUUUACAUUGUGAUUUGUGACAAAAAAUUAAUUACAUUUCAAACUGAAUUUUUUUCAACCUUCACUAAAUGAGACGC